AUUGAACGCUGGCGGCAGGCCUAACACAUGCAAGUCGAGCGGAUGAAGGGAGCUUGCUCCUGGAUUCAGCGGCGGACGGGUGAGUAAUGCCUAGGAAUCUGCCUGGUAGUGGGGGAUAACGUCCGGAAACGGGCGCUAAUACCGCAUACGUCCCGAGGGAGAAAGUGGGGGAUCUUCGGACCUCACGCUAUCAGAUGAGCCUAGGUCGGAUUAGCUAGUUGGUGGGGUAAAGGCCUACCAAGGCGACGAUCCGUAACUGGUCUGAGAGGAUGAUCAGUCACACUGGAACUGAGACACGGUCCAGACUCCUACGGGAGGCGGCAGUGGGGAAUAUUGGACAAUGGGCGAAAGCCUGAUCCAGCCAUGCCGCGUGUGUGAAGAAGGUCUUCGGAUUGUAAAGCACUUUAAGUUGGGAGGAAGGGCAGUAAGUUAAUACCUUGCUGUUUUGACGUUACCAACAGAAUAAGCACCGGCUAACUUCGU
rnacentral:rRNA from 1 species